GGAGUGGGGUUACAUCUGGAAAUCGUGUGAGCGUGAUGAGCGCUCCGAGGGUUCGAAUCCCUCUCUCUCCGCCA
rnacentral:tRNA from 1 species